GAUGAACGCUGGCGGCGUGCUUAACACAUGCAAGUCGACCGAUGAUCCCAGCUUGCUGGGGGGAUUAGUGGCGAACGGGUGAGUAACACGUGAGUAACCUGCCCUUAACUCUGGGAUAAGCCUGGGAAACUGGGUCUAAUACCGGAUAUGACUCCUCAUCGCAUGGUGGGGGGUGGAAAGCUUUAUUGUGGUUUUGGAUGGACUCGCGGCCUAUCAGCUUGUUGGUGAGGUAAUGGCUCACCAAGGCGACGACGGGUAGCCGGCCUGAGAGGGUGACCGGCCACACUGGGACUGAGACACGGCCCAGACUCCUACGGGAGGCAGCAGUGGGGAAUAUUGCACAAUGGGCGAAAGCCUGAUGCAGCGACGCCGCGUGAGGGAUGACGGCCUUCGGGUUGUAAACCUCUUUCAGUAGGGAAGAAGCGAAAGUGACGGUACCUGCAGAAGAAGCGCCGGCUAACUACGUGC
rnacentral:rRNA from 1 species